ensembl:lncRNA
GUGAGACCUCUAGUGGCCACCCAGGGAGACACAGAACAGACACCGUGACACUACCCCCCCUCUAAGGAGCAGCUUCCAGAUGCUCCUCAGAACAAAAUAACCAAAAAAAACAAAGAGACCAGGAGGGAGGUGGACUGGUGGAGGCAGAACAGGGGGAGGGAUGGCGGGCCAGGCCCGUGUAGGGGAACUGGGACCGGCAGCGAUGGCUCCCCUGGUAGCCCAGUUGGCUCGGUCAGUUCAGGGGGAGGGAUGGCGGGCCAGGCCCGUGUAGGGGAACUGGGACCGGCAGUGAUGGCUCCCUGGUAGCCCAGGUGGCUCGGUCAGAUCAGGGGGCCAUGGUGGACCCGAAAGCUCAGGGGACCACGAGGGACCAGGCAGUUCAGGUGGCCACGGUGGAUCAGUCCAUUCUCGUUGUGCAGACGGCCAGGGAGGAAUUCGCCAUUUGAGUGGCCCGAACGGAACCUGCCAAUCGGGGAGCCAGUAAGGAGCAGGCUGUGGCGAUGGCCAGGUCACGGCAUUGGGAACGGCAUCGGGAACGGCCUCAGACAAGGGCACCGCCUCGGGAACGGCCUUGGACACGGGUAUCGCCUCCGGAACCAUCUCGGGCCCCGCCUCGGCCUCCGGAACAGCAUCGGGCACUGCCUCGGGAAUGGCCUCAGGAACGGCAUCGGACAAGGACACCGCCUCGGGAACGACCUCGGCAUCGGGCACCGCCUCGGGAACGGUCUCAGGAACGGCCUCCG